UACGUAGGGUGCAGGCGUUAAUCGGAAUUACUGGGCGUAAAGCGUGCGCAGGCGGUUUGUUAAGUCAGAUGUGAAAGCCCCGGGCUUAACCUGGGAACUGCGUUUGAAACUGGGAGACUUGAGUGUGGCAGAGGGGGGUGGAAUUCCACGUGUAGCAGUGAAAUGCGUAGAUAUGUGGAGGAACACCGAUGGCGAAGGCAGCCCCCUGGGUUAACACUGACGCUCAUGCACGAAAGCGUGGGGAGCAAACAGG
rnacentral:rRNA from 1 species